rnacentral:rRNA from 1 species
UACGUAGGGGGCUAGCGUUGUCCGGAAUCAUUGGGCGUAAAGCGCGUGUAGGCGGCCCGGUAAGUCCGCCGUGAAAGUCGGGGGCUCAACCCUCGGAUGCCGGUGGAUACUGUCGGGCUAGAGUGCGGAAGAGGCGAGUGGAAUUCCUGGAGUAGCGGUAAAAUGCGUGGAUCUCAGGAGGAACACCAAUGGCGAAGGCAGCUUCUUGGCUCAUUCCUGGCGUUGAGGCACGAAAGCGUGGGGAGCGAACAGG